UGAUCAGUGGCGAACGGGUGAGUAACACGUGGGCAACCUGCCCCAGACUUCGGGAUAACGCUUCGAAAGAGGUGCUAAUACCGGAUACGAGCUCCUUGGGCAUCCUUGGAGUUGGAAAGUUUUUCGGUCUGGGAUGGGCCCGCGGCCUAUCAGCUAGUUGGGUGAGGGUAAACGGCUCACCAAGGCGACGACGGGUAGCCGGCCUGAGAGGGCGACCGGCCACACUGGGACUGAGACACGGCCCAGACUCCUACGGGAGGCAGCAGUGGGGAAUAUUGCGCAAUGGGCGAAAGCCUGACGCAGCAACGCCGCGUGAGGGAUGACGGCCUUCGGGUUGUAAACCUCUUUCAGCAGGGAAGAAGCGAAAGUGACGGUACCUGCAGAAGAAGCACCGGCUAACUACGUG
rnacentral:rRNA from 1 species